rnacentral:rRNA from 1 species
GAUGAACGCUGGCGGCGUGCCUAAUACAUGCAAGUCGAGCGAACGGACGAGAAGCUUGCUUCUCUGAUGUUAGCGGCGGACGGGUGAGUAACACGUGGAUAACCUACCUAUAAGACUGGGAUAACUUCGGGAAACCGGAGCUAAUACCGGAUAAUAUUUUGAACCGCAUGGUUCAAAAGUGAAAGACGGUCUUGCUGUCACUUAUAGAUGGAUCCGCGCUGCAUUAGCUAGUUGGUAAGGUAACGGCUUACCAAGGCAACGAUGCAUAGCCGACCUGAGAGGGUGAUCCGACACCUUGGAUGUGAGACACAGUAGCGACUCCGACGCGGGGACGCAGUAGGGACUCUUCCGCGAUGGGCGAGAGCCUGACGGAGCAACGCCGCGUGAGUGAUGAUGGUCCUCGGCUCGUAGAACUAUGUUAUUAGGGAGGAUCAUAUGUGUAAGUAACUGUGCACAUAUUGACGGUACCUAAUCAGAAAGCCACGGCUAACUCCGUG